AGAACGAACGCUGGCGGCAUGCCUAAUACAUGCAAGUCGAACGAACACUUCGGAGUUAGUGGCGCACGGGUGCGUAACGCGUGGGAAUCUGCCCUUGGGUUCGGAAUAACAGUUGGAAACGACUGCUAAUACCGGAUGAUGACGAAAGUCCAAAGAUUUAUCGCCCAGGGAUGAGCCCGCGUAGGAUUAGCUAGUUGGUGAGGUAAAGGCUCACCAAGGCGACGAUCCUUAGCUGGUCUGAGAGGAUGAUCAGCCACACUGGGACUGAGACACGGCCCAGACUCCUACGGGAGGCAGCAGUAGGGAAUAUUGGACGAUGGGCGAAAGCCUGAUCCAGCAAUGCCGCGUGAGUGAUGAAGGCCUUAGGUUGUAAAGCUCUUUUACCCGAGAUGAUAAUGACAGUAUCGGAGAAUAAGCCCGCUAACUCCGUGCCAGCAGCCGC
rnacentral:rRNA from 1 species